AACGUAGGAGACAAACGUUAUCCGGAGUUACUGGGCGUAAAGGGCGUGUAGGUGGUUUCGUAAGUCUGGCGUGAAAUUUCUCGGCUUAACCGAGGCAGGUCGUCGGAUACUGCGGAACUUGAGGACGGUAGAGGCGUGUGGAAUUCCGGGUGUAGUGGUGAAAUGCGCAGAUAUCAGGAGGAACACCAAUGGCGAAGGCAGCACUCUGGGACGUGACUGACGCUGAGACGCGAAAGCGUGGGGAGCAAACAGG
rnacentral:rRNA from 1 species